GCGCAGCGAAAUGCGAUACGUGGUGCGAAUUGCAGAAUCCCGUGAACCAUCGAGUUUUUGAACGCAAGUUGCGCCUGAGGCCAGCUGGCCAAGGGCACGUCCGCCUGGGCGUCAAGCAUUAAAUCGCUCCAUAAGACGCCCGAUGCUACGAGCGUUCUUAU
rnacentral:rRNA from 1 species